UACGUAGGGUGCGAGCGUUAAUCGGAAUUACUGGGCGUAAAGGGAGCGUAGGCGGCGCGGUAAGUCAGAUGUGAAAUCCCGGGGCUCAACCCCGGAACUGCAUCCGAUACUGCCGUGCUAGAGGAUUGGAGAGGUAGCUGGAAUUCUUGGUGUAGCAGUGAAAUGCGUAGAGAUCAAGAGGAACACUCGUGGCGAAAGCGAGCUACUGGACAAUAUCUGACGCUGAGGCUCGAAGGCCAGGGUAGCGAAAGGG
rnacentral:rRNA from 1 species